UUUCAUUCUUGGAAGAAUGGGAAAUGCAAAACAAGCCCUUGCUAUAAUCAUUAAUAAACUAGGGGACAUUGAAGAGGCUGUAGAAUUUGUGAGUAUGCAACAUGAUUAUGAACUAUGAGAGGAAUUGAUCCCGCAGUGUCUUCAUAAACCUGAGAUGGUCGGCGUGCUAUUGGAGCACACUAUUGGAAAUCUUGAUCCUCUCUAUAUUGUGAAUAUGGUUCCCAAUGGACUGGAGAUUCCUCUGUCAGUUUGAUCCUCUUUUAGUUUUACUUUCUUAUACUCCCUCCUUUCAAUCAAUGAAUUCUUCGUUUUCUAGAAAACCUAGCAGAUAUCUGUGUUGCUAAAGAGAAGAUAGAAAGCAGUGGACAAGAAAUCCACGUGAAAAGAAAUUUUGGGAAAACUAAAACCUAACAAAGCUAAAAAACUAGCAAACCACCUAGAUAAUUAUAGUUUAAAUAAGCAUAAAUAUGUAUGAGUACUUGAACAGUGAUAUUCGAUAUUGUAACCCUAAUACACUAUAUUUGUGUCGAUAAAUUAUUUUUGUUUUAAAUUUCUAGGUGUAUGAGAAGGUUCAAUAAGAAUGUGUGUGCAUUAACAUGAGCACAUACAAAUCAAGUAUAGAUGUAUGCAUCUACACAUUUAGGUAUCAGUAACUAUGUUCGAACUUGCGAACCUACCACAACACAAACAAAAGUUAGAUGAUUGUGUAGGAUGAAUUUAAAUUUGGAGUAUUCUUUGAGGAGAAAUUUUC